rnacentral:rRNA from 1 species
AACGAACGCUGGCGGCAGGCCUAACACAUGCAAGUCGAGCGAGGACUUCGGUUCUAGCGGCGGACGGGUGAGUAACGCGUGGGAAUGUGCCCUUCUCUACGGAAUAGCCCUGGGAAACUGGGAGUAAUACCGUAUACGCCCUUUUGGGGAAAGAUUUAUCGGAGAAGGAUCAGCCCGCGUUGGAUUAGGUAGUUGGUGGGGUAAUGGCCUACCAAGCCGACGAUCCAUAGCUGGUUUGAGAGGAUGAUCAGCCACACUGGGACUGAGACACGGCCCAGACUCCUACGGGAGGCAGCAGUGGGGAAUCUUAGACAAUGGGGGCAACCCUGAUCUAGCCAUGCCGCGUGAGUGAUGAAGGCCUUAGGGUUGUAAAGCUCUUUCAGCUGGGAGGAUAAUGACGGUACCAGCAGAAGAAGCCCCGGCUAACUCCGUG